GCCGGGGUGGCGGAAUUGGCAGACGCGGCGGAUUCAAAAUCCGCAGUCCUUCAGUGGGCGUGUGGGUUCAAGUCCCACCCCCGGCACCA
rnacentral:tRNA from 1 species